rnacentral:rRNA from 1 species
GACGAACGCUGGCGGCGUGCUUAACACAUGCAAGUCGAACGGAAAGGCCCUGCUUUUGUGGGGUGCUCGAGUGGCGAACGGGUGAGUAACACGUGAGUAACCUGCCCUUGACUUUGGGAUAACUUCCGGAAACUGGGGCUAAUACCGGAUAGGAGCUCCUGCUGCAUGGGGUGGGUUGGAAAGUUUCGGCGGUUGGGGCUGGACUCGCGGCUUAUCAGCUUGUUGGUGGGGUAGUGGCUUACCAAGGCUUUGCCGGGUAGCCGGACUGAGAGGGUGACCGGCCACAGUGGGACUGAGAUACGGCCCAGACUGCUACGGGAGGCAGCAGUGGGGAAUAGUGCACAAGGGGCGGAAGCCUGAUGCAGCAACGCCGCGUGCGGGAUGACGGCCUUCGGGUUGUAAACCGCUUUCGCCGGUGAAGAAGCGUGAGUGACGGUAAUGGGUAAAGAAGCACCGGCUAACUACGUG